CCUACGGGUGGCAGCAGUGAGGAAUAUUGGUCAAUGGGCGCGAGCCUGAACCAGCCAAGUAGCGUGAGGGAUGAAGGUUCUACGGAUUGUAAACCUCUUUUAUAAGGGAAUAAAGUGUGGGACGUGUCCUAUUUUGUAUGUACCUUAUGAAUAAGGAUCGGCUAACUCCGUGCCAGCAGCCGCGGUAAUACGGAGGAUCCGAGCGUUAUCCGGAUUUAUUGGGUUUAAAGGGUGCGUAGGCGGGCUGUUAAGGCAGGGGUGAAAGUUUGUGGCUCAACCCUAGAAUUGCCGUUGAUACUGGGAGGCUUGAGUAUGUUUGAGGUAGGCGGAAUGCGUGGUGUAGCGGUGAAAUGCUUAGAUAUCACGCAGAACCCCGAUUGCGAAGGCAGCCUGCCAAGCCAUCACUGACGCUGAUGCACGAAAGCGUGGGUAUCAAACAGGAUUAGAUACCCCGGUAGUC
rnacentral:rRNA from 1 species